AUGUUCAUGCAAGACUACUUCACCGACAAUCCAACAUAUCCACCGCAUCUCUUUCGAAGAAGGUACCGAAUGCGCCGAUCCCUCUUUGUGAAAAUAGUGCAAGCUUGCGAGACCAGUUGUCGGUAUUUUACUCAAAGAAGAAAUGCCGCGGGCUUGAAGGGAUUUAGUGCAUAUCAAAAAAUCUCAGCAGCCAUGCGGGUAAUUUCAUACGGCAUUCCGGCUGACUAUGCCGAUGAGUAUCUUUGCAUUGGUGAAGAUACUACAAUUGAGUCGGUGCGUAGGUUUGCCGAAGUGAUCAUCUGUGUCUUUGGUCCUGAAUAUCUUCGGGCACCCAACGAGGAAGACACAAAAAAAUUGAUGGCAUCAAGUGAGAGAAGAGGUUGGCCUGGCAUGCUAGGAAGCAUGAUUGUAUGCAUUGGACUUGGA
rnacentral:rRNA from 1 species